rnacentral:rRNA from 1 species
CACUGCCUGCCCAGUGACAUCUGUUCAACGGCCGCGGUAUCCUGACCGUGCAAAGGUAGCAUAAUCACUUGUUCCUUAAAUAGGGACUUGUAUGAAAGGCUUGACGAGGGCUUAACUGUCUCUUACUUCCAAUCAGUGAAAUUGACCUUCCCGUGAAGAGGCGGGAAUAAUAUAAUAAGACGAGAAGACCCUAUGGAGCUUUUAAAUCUAUUAACUCAAGCAUAUAACUAUUAACCUCCCACGGAGACUCAAAACCCUGCUUAUGAGUUAAAAUUUUUGGUUGGGGUGACCUCGGAGCACAAGACAACCUCCGAAUGAUAUUAAUUAAGACAAACCAGUCUAAAUAAAAUCACUAAUUGACCCAAACUAUUUGAUCAACGGAAUAAGUUACCCUAGGGAUAACAGCGCAAUCCUACUCAAGAGUUCAUAUCGACAGUCAGGGUUUACGACCUCGAUGUUGGAUCAGGACACCCAAAUGGUGCAGCAGCUAU